rnacentral:rRNA from 1 species
UACGUAGGGACCAAGCGUUGUCCGGAAUCAUUGGGCGUAAAGAGCGUGUAGGCGGCUUGUUAAGUCUUGCGUGAAAUCUCGGGGCUCAACCCCGAGCGGUCGUGAGAAACUGGCAGGCUAGAGUGCGGGAGAGGAGAGGUGGAAUUCCUGGUGUAGCGGUGAAAUGCGCAGAUAUCAGGAAGAACACCCGUGGCGAAGGCGGCUCUCUGGAACGCAACUGACGCUGAGACGCGAAAGCGUGGGGAGCAAACAGG